rnacentral:rRNA from 1 species
GAUGAACGCUAGCGAUAGGCUUAACACAUGCAAGUCGAGGGGCAGCAUGGUCUUAGCUCGCUAAGACUGAUGGCGACCGGCGCACGGGUGCGUAACGCGUAUGCAACUUGCCUCACAGAGGGGGAUAACCCGUCGAAAGACGGACUAAUACCGCGUACACUUGGGAUAGGGCAUCCUGACCCAAGGAAAUGAAAUUCGCUGUGAGAUAGGCAUGCGUCCCAUUAGCUAGUUGGUGAGGUAACGGCUCACCAAGGCGACGAUGGGUAGGGGAACUGAGAGGUUGAACCCCCACACUGGUACUGAGACACGGACCAGACUCCUACGGGAGGCAGCAGUGAGGAAUAUUGGUCAAUGGGCGAGAGCCUGAACCAGCCAAGUCGCGUGAAGGAUGACUGUCUUAUGGAUUGUAAACUUCUUUUAUACGGGAAUAACAAGAGCCACGUGUGGCUCCCUGCAUGUACCGUAUGAAUAAGCAUCGGCUAACUCCGUG